GGACCAAUUUGUUGGUCGUGCCUCGGUACGUACUGGUAUUAUUGGUUUCUCCCUUCUGAAGAACCUUGAUGUCAUUAAUUUGGUGUCUUGGGGAAUCAGGACUGUUACUUUGAAAAAAUUAGAGUGUUUAAAGCAGGCAUACGCUUGAAUACAUUAGCAUGGAAUAAUGAAAUAGGACGUUUGAUUCUAUUUUGUUGGUUUCUAGGAUCGACGUAAUGAUUAAUAGGGAUAGUUGGG
rnacentral:rRNA from 1 species